GACGAACGCUGGCGGCGUGCUUAACACAUGCAAGUCGAACGGAAAGGCCCUGCUUUUGUGGGGUGCUCGAGUGGCGAACGGGUGAGUAACACGUGAGUAACCUGCCCUUGACUUUGGGAUAACUUUAGGAAACUGGGGCUAAUACCGGAUAGGAGCUCCUGCUGCAUGGUGGGGGUUGGAAAGUUUCGGCGGUUGGGGAUGGACUCGCGGCUUAUCAGCUUGUUGGUGGGGUAGUGGCUUACCAAGGCUUUGACGGGUAGCCGGCCUGAGAGGGUGACCGGCCACAUUGGGACUGAGAUACGGCCCAGACUCCUACGGGAGGCAGCAGUGGGGAAUAUUGCACAAUGGGCGGAAGCCUGAUGCAGCAACGCCGCGUGCGGGAUGACGGCCUUCGGGUUGUAAACCGCUUUCGCCUGGGACGAAGCGUGAGUGACGGUAAUGGGUAAAGAAGCACCGGCUAACUACGUG
rnacentral:rRNA from 1 species